rnacentral:tRNA from 1 species
GGAGAGGUGCUGGAGUGGUCGAACAGGCACGCCUGGAAAGCGUGUGUACCGGCAACGGUACCGAGGGUUCGAAUCCCUCUCUCUCCG